UACAGAGGUCCCAAGCGUUGUUCGGAUUCACUGGGCGUAAAGGGUGCGUAGGUGGUCGGGUAAGUCUGAUGUGAAAUCUCCGAGCUUAACUCGGAAAUGGCAUUGGAUACUAUUCGGCUGGAGGUUUGGAGGGGGGACUGGAAUUCUCGGUGUAGCGGUGAAAUGCGCAGAUAUCAGGAGGAACACCGGUGGCGAAGGCGGUGAUCUGGGCCGGCACUGACGCUGAGGAGCGAAAGCGUGGGUAGCAAACAGG
rnacentral:rRNA from 1 species